CAGAUAAUCGGGAUCUUCUGGGUUUGGAGGUUUACAACAUAAAAGAGUGAAUAAGAGGAAAAGAAGGAUGAUAGUCACGUCUUCACAGAGGAAGCAGCGUGACUGUGGGAACCAGUCUAAACCAAAGCCUGGUUUAAGCAUCUCCAUUCCUUUGAGGCUGUCCAGUGACAUAUUCGAGAGGCCGGUUACUAGAAUCCUAUCCCAUCCUGGCAAUGACAGAUCUCUGGGAGGACACCUUGGACCAGCCCCACCAGGUCUGCUGGCCCGAGAGACCGCAAGGACUCCAGGCCUGCAGCAGUGCAAGACAACUGCUGAUGCAAUUCCAGAGAUUGAACUAGAAAACUACAAGUUCCUAAAAUUUGCUCAAAAGAAACCUCCACAAGAGAAGCAGAAACUAUUCCCUCUUCCUCCAGAAUGUAGAA